rnacentral:rRNA from 1 species
UACGUAGGGGGCGAGCGUUGUCCGGAUUUAUUGGGCGUAAAGAGCGUGUAGGCGGUUCGGUAAGUCUGUCGUGAAAUCCCUCGGCUUAACCGGGGAACUGCAUCUGAUACUGGAUGGCUUGAGUUCGGGAGAGGGAUGCGGAAUUCCAGGUGUAGCGGUGAAAUGCGUAGAUAUCUGGAGGAACACCGGUGGCGAAGGCGGCAUCCUGGACCGACACUGACGCUGAGGAGCGAAAGCCAGGGGAGCAAACGGG